rnacentral:rRNA from 1 species
GUAGCGAACAGGAUUAGAUACCCUGGUAGUCCACACCGUAAACGCUGUCUACUAGCUGUGUGUGCCUUUAAGGCGUGCGUAGCGAAGCUAACGCGCUAAGUAGACCGCCUGGGGAGUACGGCCGCAAGGUUAAAACUCAAAUGAAUUGACGGGGGCCCGCACAAGCGGUGGAGCAUGUGGUUUAAUUCGACGCAACGCGAAGAACCUUACCUGGCCUUGACAUGCAGAGAACUUUCCAGAGAUGGAUUGGUGCCUUCGGGAACUCUGACACAGGUGCUGCAUGGCCGUCGUCAGCUCGUGUCGUGAGAUGUUGGGUUAAGUCCC